GCAUAUCAAUAAGCGGAGGAAAAGAAACUAACAAGGAUUCCCUUAGUAACGGCGAGUGAAGAGGGAAGAGCUCAAAUUUUAAAUCUAUCAUGUUUGUACAUGAUCGAAUUGUAAUUUGAAGAAGCGUUUUCUCGUACUUUAUGCAAUCAGUAUAAGUUCUCUUGGAACAGGACAUCAUAGAGGGUGAUAAUCCCGUCUGUUACUGGUUGUGAGGUUCGUUAUGAUACGCUUUCAAAGAGUCGAGUUGUUUGGGAUUGCAGCUUAAAAUGGGAGGUAAAUUUCUCCUAAGGCUAAAUAACGGCGAGAGACCGAUAGCGAACAAGUACCGUGAGGGAAAGAUGAAAAGAACUUUGAAAAGAGAGUUAAACAGUACGUGAAAUUGUUGAAAGGGAAACGAUUGAAGCCAGUCGUACCUUCGGGUAAUCAGCCUUUCGGGUGCGAUUCUGUGAGGUGUGAGGAGUUAAACGCCUUCAUGUUUUGCAUAUUCGUGCUCUUGGGUGUACUUGCCCGUGUGGUUGGUUAACAUCAAUUUUGGACGCCAUAAAAUGACUGGAGGAAUGUAGCUUCGAUCUCGUAUUGAAGUGUUAUAGCCUUUGGUAGAUGUGGUUUUCGAGAUUGAGGAUUGCAACGGAUACCCUUCGGGGCUACCUAUCUGAUCUCUGAUCGUUGCUCUGGUGCCGAAAGCUUGCUUACGGAUAUCAAAGUCGAUGGUCAAUAGGUUAGAAUAGGUUAAAUUCGUUAAGGAUGUUGACGUA
rnacentral:rRNA from 1 species